GGGUGUGGCUCAAUGGUAGAGGGCUUGCUUAGCAUGUGCAAGGCCCUGGGUUCAAUCCCCAGCACCACA
rnacentral:tRNA from 1 species